rnacentral:rRNA from 1 species
UACGAAGGGGACUAGCGUUGUUCGGAAUUACUGGGCGUAAAGCGCACGUAGGCGGAUUUGUUAGUCAGGGGUGAAAUCCCGGGGCUCAACCUCGGAACUGCCUUUGAUACUGCAAGUCUCGAGUCCGAUAGAGGUGGGUGGAAUUCCUAGUGUAGAGGUGAAAUUCGUAGAUAUUAGGAAGAGCACCGGUGGCGAAGGCGGCCCACUGGAUCGGUACUGACGCUGAGGUGCGAAAGCGUGGGGAGCAAACAGG